rnacentral:rRNA from 1 species
AGGGAAUAUUGCGCAAUGGACGGAAGUCUGACGCAGCGACGCCGCGUGAGCGAUGAAGGUCUUCGGAUCGUAAAGCUCUGUCCUUGGGGAAGAAGGUCUUCGGACUUGACGGUACCCAAGAAGAAAGCCCCGGCUAACUACGUGCCAGCAGCCGCGGUAAUACGUAGGGGGCGAGCGUUGUCCGGAAUUACUGGGCGUAAAGGGUACGUAGGCGGAUAUAUAAGUCAAAUGUGAAAGGCACCGGCUUAACCGCGGAAUGGCAUUCGAAACUGGAGGGCUUGAGUGUCGGAGAGGGUAGUGGAAUUCCCAGUGUAGCGGUGAAAUGCGUAGAUAUUGGGAGGAACACCAGUGGCGAAGGCGACUACCUGGACGAUAACUGACGCUGAGGCACGAAAGCUAGGGGAGCAAACA